CGGUAAUUCCAGCUCCAAUAGCGUAUACUAAAGUUGUUGCAGUUAAAAAGCUCGUAGUUGGAUUUCUGCGGGGACGGAGCGGCCGGACGCAACUUGCGUCUCGAGCUAGCGCUUUCCCCGCAUCCUGCCGCGAACCGUGCUACCAUUAGUUUGGUGGCGCUGGGGAUCGGCUCGAUUACUUUGAGAAAAAUAGAGUGUUCAAAGCAGGCCACACGCCUUGAAUAAGUUAGCAUGGAAUAAUGACUAAGGACUUCGGUUCUAUUUUGUUGGUGUUCGGGACUGAAGUAAUGAUUGAUAGGGACAGUUGGGGCGGUCUGUAUUCCAAAGCGAGAGGUGAAAUUCUUAGACCUUCGGAAGACAAACAGCUGCGAAAGCGUUCCGCAAGGAUGUUCCCUUUGAUCAAGAACGAAAGUUGGGGGAUCGAAGACGAUCAGAUACCGUCGUAGUCUCAACUAUAAACUAUACCAGCUAGGGAUCGGCCAACGUUUAAUUAAUCGACUUGGUCGGCACCUUAUGAGAAAUCAAAGCAUCUGGGUUCCGGGGGGAGUAUGGUCGCAAGGCUGAAACUUAAAGGAAUUGACGGAAGGGCACCACCAGCCGUGGAGCCUGUGGCUUAAUUUGACUCAACACGGGAAAACUUACCAGGUCCAGACAUAGGAAGGAUUGACAGAUUGAUAGCUCUUUCUUGAUUCUGUGGGUGGUGGUGCAUGGCCGUUUUUAGUUGGUGGAGUGAUUUGUCUGCUUAAUUGCGUUAACGAACGAGACCCCAGCCUGCUAAAUAGCGCGGCUGAGCUUUGCUCGGUGCGAGCUUCUUAGAGGGACCAUGAUGCGCGAUAGCACAAGGAAGUUUGGGGCAACAACAGGUCUGUGAUGCCCUUAGAUGUUCUGGGCCGCACACGGGCUACACUGGCGCCUGCAACGAGCAUAUCAGCUGGCCCGAGAGGGUCUUGGCUAAUCUUUUGAACCGGCGCCGUGCUUGGGAUUGACCUUUGCAAUUGUUGGUCAUGCAACGAGGAAUGCCUUGUAAACGCGAGUCAUCAGCUCGCAUUGAAUACGUCCCUGCUCUUUGUACACACCGCCC
rnacentral:rRNA from 1 species